UUGCAGCUGAUUAUAUAGCAUACUAUUUUUAUAUGUAAAAGAAAAUUUUACCUUUGUAAACAGAGGAAUGGAGAAGCCUAUUAGCAAGCAUCACACAUGAAACUAAUUGUUGCAUGAAAUAUUACAAAUUCAAUACCAGUAGUAUAUACUAAUAUAAGCCAGCAUAUGGACCAAUUUAGUGGCCCUAAUUAAAAAUACUAGUCUUGUGCUGCUAAAAAUAUUGAUUAAUGAGUUAACAAAUUACUAGCAUUAUGCCAAUGAUAAAGUAUAUGUAAGUGUAGUAAACCAAGCAUUUGGAUUUCCUGCAGUGCAAUUUGCACGCAGUUUCACGCUGUUUUGGAUUUCGAUCGUUAGAUUAAAAUCAAACGGCUCAGAUUAUAUAUUAAUAAAAUUAGCUGUUUGUAAUAUAAACCAUUCAUUUAUGAUCGGAUGACUGAGAUUCGAAACUGCGUGAAAUAUUUACUGCACCAAAUCCUGUUCCGUAAACCAAACCAACUUAAAUGGAUCUAGGAACAAUAACAGCCUUGAGAGGAUUCUUCAUGACAACAGUGAAAGCAAAUGUCUC
rnacentral:lncRNA from 1 species